rnacentral:misc_RNA from 1 species
GAUGAAGAACGCAGCGAAAUGCGAAAAGUAAUGUGAAUUGCAGAAUUCAGUGAACCAUCGAAUCUUUGAACGCACAUUGCGCCCGCUGGAACUCCGGCGGGCACGCCUGUCCGAGCGUCAUUUCAACCCUCAGGCCCCCCUUCGCGGGCGGGCCUGGUGUUGGGGCCCGGCCGCUACCCUGCGGCCGUCCCCUAAAUUCAGUGGCGGCCUCGCCGUGAUCCCUUGCGUAGUAAUGCACCUCGCACCGGAGAGCGCCGUGGCCACGCCGUAAAACCCCCAAUUUUCAAAUGUUGACCUCGGAUCAGGUGGGAAUACCCGCUGAACUUAAGCAUAUCAAUAAGCGGAGGA